GAAAAUUAAGUUACCUGUUGUGAACUGGAUCCGGUCCACUGUGCACCUUCCUCUUGCUGCUACUGAAAGGAUCAUCAGCCUUGAAUUCCUCCAGUGUCCUCUUAGUCAAUCCUCUAUUGACUCCAGUCAUCAUCCUCCUACCGCCUACUACUGCAUUGGCUAACCGCACAGGAGAUGAAUGUUUCACGCUACUCUCCACCAUCAUUGACACCAGAACAAGGCCUCCAAACAGGAUGGCCAAUGCCGGCUUCGCAGACCUUCCCAGCCGGCUCAUGAUAGCUCCUACCUUUGUGUUGGCUCGGCACUGCCACCACCACAACCCCUCUAUGUGCUUCUCAUAGGGUGGUGCUGGUGCAGCUGCAAGAACUCCAAUAUGAGUCUGCUUCUCGUGUGCCUUUGAAGGGCCUAAUGCAGGGGGCAGGGUAGAAUCAAAGCAACUGAGCCAUGCUUGCUUUUGUCCUUUGCUUUUCUUUUCCUUGAGUUAUGCUAUUUUUCUUUCUUUUCUUUUGAUUUCAUAUGUAAUUGGUCUUGAUUGGUCAAAGAAGAUCCAAUAGCCUAUAGGAGUUCAAGGUUGCAACUGACCGUGCUGCCUGGUCCAUAAGGAUUCCUUGGUUAGAGGAUAAUCUUGAUUACUUGAAAGUGUUAAGGAUGGAAUAAAAGAAGGGGAAGAAGUAACCUUUGAGUAAAUCUAGGAGGGGCAUGACAGAUGAGAGAUUGUUCUGAUUAAGCAAGGCACAGAAAGCAACUGCAAAGUGAGAAGCACCCUGGAGAAAUACACAUCUGUAUGCUACUACUUUCAGGCAUGUUACUGAAAAAACAUGGUCAGUACAAAAUAGUUUGGACCUGAUGUGAUUUAUCAGCAUAUCUGAAGCAAGCAGAUUUUCCUUGACCAAAAGCCAAGAUGAGGCAGGGGACAAGUCCAUAUCACUCCUAUAUUGUGGAAAGGGCCAAAGGAGUUGGUUAUUUUUGAGACAGCCUGACACACUGGCUGUCCUGCAAUUCACUGUUAUGCAAGCUAGCAAAAAUAAAGUGCAAGAGGUGGCUGCAUGCAUUACUGACACUAGGACAUCCCCUGUUUUAACAUUGGUAAAUGCUGAAAAUUACUUCCCCUC